rnacentral:rRNA from 1 species
CCUACGGGGAGCAGCAGUGAGGAAUAUUGGUCAAUGGACGAGAGUCUGAACCAGCCAAGUAGCGUGAAGGAUGACUGCCCUAUGGGUUGUAAACUUCUUUUAUAUGGGAAUAAAAUGUUCCACGUGUGGGAUUUUGUAUGUACCAUAUGAAUAAGGAUCGGCUAACUCCGUGCCAGCAGCCGCGGUAAUACGGAGGAUCCGAGCGUUAUCCGGAUUUAUUGGGUUUAAAGGGAGCGUAGGUGGAUUGUUAAGUCAGUUGUGAAAGUUUGCGGCUCAACCGUAAAAUUGCAGUUGAAACUGGCAGUCUUGAGUACAGUAGAGGUGGGCGGAAUUGGUGGUGUAGCGGUGAAAUGCUUAGAUAUCACGAAGAACUCCGAUUGCGAAGGCAGUUCACUGGACUGCAACUGACACUGAGGCUCGAAAGUGUGGGUAUCAAACAGGAUUAGAUACCCUAGUAGUC